rnacentral:rRNA from 1 species
UACGUAGGCAGCAAGCGUUGUUCGGAAUUACUGGGCGUAAAGGGUGCGUAGGCGGCUUUUUAAGUUUGGUGUGAAAUCUCCCGGCUCAACUGGGAGGGUGCGCCGGAUACUGAGGGGCUAGAGUGUGGGAGAGGAAAGUGGAAUUCCUGGUGUAGCGGUGAAAUGCGUAGAUAUCAGGAGGAACACCGGUGGUGUAAACGGCUUUCUGGACCAUAACUGACGCUGAGGCACGAAAGCGUGGGUAGCAAACAGG